rnacentral:rRNA from 1 species
CAGUAGCCGCGGGAAUACGUAGGUGGCAAGCGUUGUCCGGAAUUAUUGGGCGUAAAGCGUGCGUAGGUGGUGGUUUAAGUCCGUUGUGAAAGCCCUGGGCUCAACCUGGGAAUUGCAGUGGAUACUGGGUCACUAGAGUGUGGUAGAGGAUAGUGGAAUUUCCGGUGUAGCGGUGAAAUGCGUAGAGAUCGGAAGGAACAUCUGUGGCGAAGGCGACUAUCUGGGCCAACACUGACACUGAGGCACGAAAGCGUGGGGAGCAAACAGGAUUAGAUACCCCUGUAGUCCCUGUCUCUUAUAC